UACGAAGGGGGCUAGCGUUACUCGGAAUUACUGGGCGUAAAGCGUGCGUAGGCUGUUUUGUAAGUUGGUAGUUAAAUUCUCGAGCUUAACUCGAGGCCUGCUAUCAAGACUGCAAGACUUGAGUAUUGGAGAAGAUAGUGGAAUUCCUAGUGUAGAGGUGAAAUUCAUAGAUAUUAGGAGGAACACCAGAGGCGAAAGCGACUAUCUGGCCAAAAACUGACGCUGUUGCACGAAAGCGUGGGGAGCAAACAGG
rnacentral:rRNA from 1 species